GGAAUUGACGGAAGGGCACACAAAGAGUGGAACCUGCGGCUUAAUUUGACUCAACACGGGAAAACUCACCAGGUCCAGAUACACGCAUGAAAGUCAAGCUGAAAGACUUUACUCAAUGAUGUAAGUGGUGGUGCAUGGUCGUUCUUAGUUCGUGGAUUGAUUUGUCUGGUCGAUUCCGAUAACGAGCGAGACCCCGGUGUUCCUAAUAGGGGUGGAAGCCCGUUGGCCGCAAGGUCAACAGCUACCGCCUAAGAUGUACUUCUUAGACACAUCAGGGCCGAUAAGGUCCUUGAAAUGGGUUAAUAACAGGUCAGUCAUGCCCUUAGAUGUUCUGGGCCGCACGCGCGUUACAAUGGCACGUAUAGAAAGUGCCUUUAAAGGCGUUUCCCGGGCCUGACGGUCCGGGUAACCCUUAAUCCCUGCUUUGACUGGGAUAGAUCAUUGCAAUUAUUGGUCUCUAACGAGGAAUUUUUAGUAAGCGCAGGUCAUUAACCUGCGUUGAAUAAGUCCCUGCCCUUUGUACACACCGCC
rnacentral:rRNA from 1 species